CGCAGCCGCGGUAAUUCCAGCUCCAAUAGCGUAUAUUAAAGUUGUUGCAGUUAAAAAGCUCGUAGUUGAAUUUCGGGAUCAGUAUGUCGGUCGUGCUUCGGUACGUACUGUCAUUACUGGUUUCUCCCUUCUGACGAACCAUGAUGUCAUUAAUUUGGUGUCUUGGGAAAUCAGGACUGUUACUUUGAAAAAUUAGAGUGUUUAAAGCAGGCAUACGCUUGAAUACAUUAGCAUGGAAUAAUGAAAUAGGACGUUUGAUUCUAUUUUGUUGGUUUCUAGGAUCGACGUAAUGAUUAAUAGGGAUAGUUGGGGGCAUUAGUAUUCAAUUGUCAGAGGUGAAAUUCUUGGAUUUAUUGAAGACUAACUACUGCGAAAGCAUUUGCCAAGGAUGUUUUCAUUAAUCAAGAACGAAAGUUAGGGGAUCGAAGACGAUCAGAUACCGUCGUAGUC
rnacentral:rRNA from 1 species